rnacentral:rRNA from 1 species
UACAGAGGUCUCAAGCGUUAGGCGGAAUCACUGGGCUUAAAGCGUGUGUAGGUGGGUUUGUAAGUACCUUGUGAAAUCCCAUGGCUCAACCAUGGAACUGCUUGGUAUACUGCGAAUCUUGAGCUGUCUAGAGGUUACUGGAACAACGGUGGAGCGGUGAAAUGCGUAGAUAUCGUUUGGAAACGCCAAUGGUGAAAACAGGUAACUGGGGACACGCUGACACUGAGACACGAAAGCCAGGGAGCGAACGGGAUAGAAUACC